GGCUCGUUGUUCUAGAGGUAUGAUUCUCGCUUAGGAUGCGAGAGGUCCCGGGUUCAAUUCCCUGACAAGCCC
rnacentral:tRNA from 1 species